rnacentral:lncRNA from 1 species
GUUCUUUAUCAUCCACUCAUACAAUGUGUUAUAUGGUUAUUAGACAGUUUAGGCAAGGAUUUUUUAAUUUGUUGGUUUACAGAUCCGCCGACCCGAUUUUGCCAAUUUCCAGAAUAAAAAUAAAAUUGACUUUUCAUGCUUUUUUAUUCCCGCAAACCCUAACAAAUGCAUUAUCCCUGAAAAAUAAUUAAAAUAUUCUUUUUUUAUGAAAUGAAAUGCAUUAAUCACUAAAAAAAUUGAUAACACUUUCUGCUGUGAAAAAAUAAAACUUCUAGUUUCAAUUCUAAAAAUAGACAAAUCAAUUAUAACUGACCUUGAAAUGAUUUUGCGCAAAUAAUUUUGUGGAACGAAACCUGUGUUUAAAACCAAUUACAUAAAAAGUUCGUUUUCCUUAUUUGUCAUCAAUACAUAAGAUGCAUCAUCUCAUAGAAAUAGACUUGACUUGUCCAAAUGUGGACAGGUGGAAGACAUCAAGUUAAAGUCAUGAAAGUACUAAAUAUUAACAUCAUUUGGAAUUUUCUUGUUUCAUAGAUAAUAAAAAAAUAUUGUCCAUUUG